rnacentral:rRNA from 1 species
GACAUAGGUGGCGAACGUUAUUCCGGAAUUAUUGGGCGUAAAGGAUGCGUAGAUGGUAGAAUAAGUUACUGGUCGAUGCCAAACUCAAUUUGACGGAAGCUGGUAAUACUGUUCUGCUAGAGGGCAGGAGAGGUUGAUGGAAUUCUGUGUGGAGCGGUGAAAUGCGUAGAGAUCGGGAAGAACGCCGGCGGCGAAAGCGACUCUCUGGUCGGACCCUGACGCUGAGGCGCGAAAGCUAGGGGAGCAAACGGG